UCGCCUGUUUAACAAAAACAUAGUUUAAAGAAAAAAAAUUUUAGAUAAAUUCUGCUCAAUGAGUAAGUUAAAUAGCUGCAGUAAAUUAACUGUACUAAGGUAGCAUAAUAAGUUGCUUUAUAAUUAAAAGCUUGAAUGAAAGAAAUAAUGUGAAAGAAGCUUUUUAAACUAAAAUAGUGAAAAUUAAUAUUUAAGUGAAAAAUCUUAAAUAGAAUCAAAAGACAAGAAGACCCUUUAGAACUUUACAAAUUGAUUUAAUAUCAUUUAGUUAAUUUGUUAAAUUGGGGAGAUUUUUAAAUAAAUAAAUCUUUAGAUAUAAAAAAAUGAUUUAAAUCAGAUUAAAUUAUCCAAAUGUGAAAUAAAACAAGUUACCUAAGGGAUAACAGCGCAAAAUUUUUGAGAAGUUCUCAUUUACAAAAUAAAUUGCGACCUCGAUGUUGGAUUAAGAACAACUUAUAAAGAAAAAUUUAUAAGAGUGGUCGUCGCCCU
rnacentral:rRNA from 1 species